rnacentral:misc_RNA from 1 species
CCGAGUUUUCAACUCCCAAACCCCUGUGAACAUACCUGAACGUUGCUUCGGCGGGACCGCCCCGGCGCCCCCAGUGGCCCGGAACCAGGCGCCCGCCGGAGGACCCAAACUCUUAGUCUUGAUAGUGGCAUUCUCUGAGUCUCACAAACAAAAAUGAAUCA